rnacentral:rRNA from 1 species
GAUGAAUGCUGGCGGCGUGCCUAACACAUGCAAGUCGAGCGGAUGAGUGGAGCUUGCUCCAUGAUUCAGCGGCGGACGGGUGAGUAAUGCCUAGGAAUCUGCCUGGUAGUGGGGGACAACGUUUCGAAAGGAACGCUAAUACCGCAUACGUCCUACGGGAGAAAGUGGGGGAUCUUCGGACCUCACGCUAUCAGAUGAGCCUAGGUCGGAUUAGCUAGUUGGUGAGGUAAAGGCUCACCAAGGCGACGAUCCGUAACUGGUCUGAGAGGAUGAACAGUCACACUGGAACUGAGACACGGUCCAGACUCCUACGGGAGGCAGCAGUGGGGAAUAUUGGACAAUGGGCGAAAGCCUGAUCCAGCCAUGCCGCGUGUGUGAAGAAGGUCUUCGGAUUGUAAAGCACUUUAAGUUGGGAGGAAGGGCAGUAAGUUAAUACCUUGCUGUUUUGACGUUACCAACAGAAUAAGCACCGGCUAACUUCGUGCCAGCAGCCGCCGUAAGAC